AAAAUACUCCCUCCGUCCGGAAAUACUUGUCAUCAAAAUAAAUAAAAAAGAAUGUAUCUAAAUGUAUUUUAGUUCUAGAUACAUUCUUUUUUGUUUAUUUUAAUGACAAGUAUUUUCGGACGGAGGAAGUAUUUC
rnacentral:pre_miRNA from 1 species